GAAUCUCAGCUUGAUGAUUCAAAUUGCAUUGGAAUUUAUCAUUUUGCACAAAGUCAUGAGUGCAAAGGACUAGCAAACAGAGCUAAAGAAGUGAUGGAAAAGAAGUUUCCUGAGGUGUGCAAGUCAGAGGAAUUUUUAAGUCUGCCUCUAGAGAGAGUCAGAAGCAUCAUCCAAAGUAAUGACCUCAAUGUGGAUUCAGAAGAAGUCAUUUUUAAUGCGAUAGUAAGUUGGGUAGGUGAGGACUCGGAGAGACACCAUGAAAUAGCCAAGUUGUUUCCUCAUGUAAGACUGUCACUGCUAUCAUCAGACUUUCUCUGGGAUCAGGUUUCUUCAAAUGUUUUUAUCAACAGCUGUCCCGAGUGUAAAAGCAUCCUAGAAAACUGGAGAAUAUUUGAGAAGUACCCUAACCGAUACCUAGGGCAAUAUAACUUUGACAUGACAAUGCGUGCUGGAAUGAUUCGACCAGACCACUGUCUUCUCUUCAUUGGAGGAUCAGAUCUCAGGCUUACUCGGCCCAAAUUAAACUGUUAUAAUCCUCUCACUAAGGAAACAUUUCUGAUGCAAGAUUUUCCGACAGAGAGGCUUGACAAAGAAUAUGAAGUUGAAAAUGUUGGCUGUGUUGUCAGCAAGGAGAACGUUGUUUAUGUUGGAGGAGGCAACUAUGUUUACCAUGAUAUGGACUUUGAUUUUUCAGACUUGGAUGACUCGUGUGAUGAUCUUGAAGAAAGAGUUGUUAGUAAGGACUUCUUCUGCUUUGAUAAUGACCACAAUAGGUGGAUAAAAUUGUCCUCCAUGUUAUUCCCCAAGUCCAACUUCACCUUGGCUGAAUUAUCAGGCAGAAUCUAUUGUUUUGGUGGAGUGACAGAUAACCAGCAUCCCACUGAGAUUAUAGAGGUAUACGACAUUCAGCAGAACAAGUGGAGCUACCAGGGCAUGCUUCCUACAACAGUGGUGGAUCUAUCAUCUGUCACCUACAAAGACUACAUCUUUCUCCUGGGAGGGAGGACAGGGGUGGGGGCACAUAACUUAGUGGUCAUGUACCACCCUGAGAAAGGACAUUGGAUUACCCGAGCAGGCAUACCCACACCCCGAUUUAAUUUUGGAGCUUGUGUCGUUGAUGAAGAGAUUUAUGUUGCGGGCGGCCAAAUCUAUUCUCAUGUGACUCAUGCCAUUAACAGAGAAGCCUUAAAAUCAGUGGAAAUAUUGAAUGUCUCUGAAAACCAGUGGAGAUCUGGACCAGAUUUGCCAGUGGGAAUGUUCAAUGUGGGUUUAGAAUUGAUCAAUGGUGCUCUGUAUGCUUGUGGUACAGCUGAAAACAAUGUGUCUGAUACUACACAAUUUUGUCGCCAGAACAUUGUGUGUCGUUUGGAUCUGGGCACACUGACAUGGCAACAGAUUGAUGUACUGGGUGACAUCAGGAAUUACAAGUGUAUAGCAGCAAAGCUGCACACAAGGAAACUCACACAAGUUUUUCCAGCAAGUGAAGCAGAGGAAGUGGAUAAUGACCAAUAACCGUCUGUUUCAUUUAAAGAUUUGUUCAAAUAUGCAUAAUAUUUUUUAGUUAAUGAUAAUAAACAAUUUUAGAGCCAUUUU
rnacentral:misc_RNA from 1 species